GAAGGGCCAGAAUCCUCCCAAGCCUGCUCCUUCCCCUCCUUCUCCUGUGAGUCCCCCAACAGUUUGUGACAAUUACUACUCCUGCCCAUCCAGCACCACCUGCUGCUGUGUCUAUGAGUAUGGACGCUACUGUUUUGCCUGGGGGUGCUGCCCUCUUGAGGGUGCCACCUGCUGUGAGGAUCACUACAGCUGCUGCCCCCAUGAUUACCCAGUUUGCAAUGUGAAGGCUGGAACUUGUCAACUGGUAAAAAUCUCUUCUUGUCAAAUUCAUAAUGCGAAAUCACUUGUUGAUUUCCUAAUAAUUUUGUAUGUUGCUUGAUGUGAGUAAACAGAG
rnacentral:lncRNA from 1 species